CGGGGCAACAUUUAACCCCCGCGGCAAAAACGACGAAGCUUUGGAAAAAUUGUGUUUUAGAGCUGGGUUGAGGAGUAGAGAUUGGAGAGAUUGGAAGGUGGAAUCGGGACGGUCAAAGGAAAGAGAGAGAGAAGGGAAGGGGAUCUUUAAAAGAGAAGUGGGGAGAGGGAGGAGAAGAAGGAUUUGAAAGAGAAAAGAGAGGAACGGAGAGGCGGGAAUGAGAUUAAGGUUUUCACUGCAACUAAAAGAGUAAUCAUGUAUGGCUCUUGGUCUUGGAGAUGAAGGAGAGGAUUCAGGUCGAUUAAGAGGACUAUACGCUGCAUUUUGGUGUAGUCUGCCGCCAUUGGUAGAAGUUUCGAAGUGGGUUUCUGUUUAGAUCCGAGUUUGACGAAGAAACGUGGUGGUUGCGCUUGGGACAAUAUUGUUUUUGCACUGGUCAAUGUAGAAAUUAAACGAUGGUAGGGUGUUUUUUUAUAAAUAAAUGAAUUCUCGCCAUUUAUAACAAGCCGAAACCUCAAAAGAAGAUUUUAAAAAUUACCCGAAGAUUCGAAAAAUAGUAGAGAAUUUUUUAAAAAGCUAGAACAGAGCAUGCUAGACUUUUGUGGACCAAAUUCAAAAGCCGAAGGGCACGGCCCAAAAGCUUUUGAAUACAAUAACUUACUAGAAAGCUCCAUUUUUUGUUGGCUACAGUAAAAGUAUGUUGUUUUAUGCUUCUUAUAUGUUACGCUUGCAUCAGCCUCAAUCACUUCUUAAUCGCUUGCUUUAACUGCAUCGCUCUCUGUGUACUCUUCUACACAUGUAACGGUUAUGCGGUUGUAGUUCACGGCUGAGGCUACGUGUUGGUUUGACGCGGCAGUUACGUUACGACAUUACGAGUCUGUUAAACAUUCGGUGAUAGAGCAUUAUUAGUUAUUUUAAGGGGACAAAUAAGAUUGGUUGCAAUAAACCCACUAAUAUUAUAAAAUUCGAGUAAUAUAGAAUAAAAUAAAAAAAUAAAUACAAAAUUGGCUUUUAUUUUUUAUGGUUGACUGUAUUUUGUGUUCUCUUAACAACUUAAGUUCACAACACUUGCAUUCUAAAGGCUUCCCACUAACAUCUAAUAUCUCAAGACUCAACGUUGCUUUACAAUAAUUGUUAUUACUACCAAACAAACAUGAAGAAACCCCGAUUAUCGGAUAAAUCAACCCAAAAUGAACAAGAGAAGAACCCAAAACAAGUGAAUCGCUAGAGCAAAACCCCCAACCCAUAUCCCUAAUCCCACACUCAAAAAAACCCAAUUUCUCUCCAAAGUCAUUGACACUAGCAUCACUACUAGACUCUAAUUCCAAUCCUAGAUUACAUUUAAUGUUAACCCAACUAAAAUGAAUGUUCUUACUACAAUACGCAUCGUUUACACUCUCAAACAACGCGCUGAACUUACUCUUAAACGAUCCCACAUUGGUCAAACACUCAUCACUCACAUCGACAUCCAAGAAUUCACUCAAAAACUUCAUAGACUCGACAAUUGGAGAAAACAAAACCACUAAACUCAACUUUAUACAAGCAUACCCAUCGAGAAUCUUACCGUCAUUAACCGAAUCACAACAAAUGACCGGGUCCCACGCGCAGUCGUGAACGAGCUUACGCAUGGACGGGGCAACAUUUAACCCCCGCGGCAAAAACGACGAAGCUUUGGAAAAAUUGUGUUUUAGAGCUGGGUUGAGGAGUAGAGAUUGGAGAGAUUGGAAGGUGGAAUCGGGACGGUCAAAGGAUAGAGAGAUAGAAGGGAAGGGGAUCUUUAAAAGAGAAGUGGGGAGAGGGAGGAGAAGAAGGAUUUGAAAGAGAAAAGAGAGGAACGGAGAGGCGGGAAUGAGAUUAAGGUUUUCACUGCAACUAAAAGAGUAAUCAUGUAUGGCUCUUGGUCUUGGAGAUGAAGGAGAGGAUUCAGGUCGAUUAAGAGGACUAUACGCUGCAUUUUGGUGUAGUCUGCCGCCAUUGGUAGAAGUUUCGAAGUGGGUUUCUGUUUAGAUCCGAGUUUGACGAAGAAACGUGGUGGUUGCGCUUGGGACAAUAUUGUUUUUGCACUGGUCAUUGUAAAAAUUAAAUGACGGUAGGGAGUUUUUUUAUAAAUAAAUGAAUUCUCGUCAUUUAUAACAAGUCGAAACCUCAAAAAAGAUUUUAAAA
rnacentral:lncRNA from 1 species